GACGAACGCUGGCGGCGUGCCUAAUACAUGCAAGUUGAGCGAUGAAGCUUGGUGCUUGCCCCAAUUUGAAGAGCCGCGAACGGGUGAGUCACGCGUGGGGACUCUGCCUUUGAGCGGGGGACAACAUUUGGAAACGAAUGCUAAUACCGCAUAAUAACUUUAUACAUAAGUUUUAAGUUUGAAAGAUGCAAUUGCAUCACUCACAGAUGAUCCCGCGUUGUAUUAGCUAGUUGGUGAGGUAAAGGCUCACCAAGGCGAUGAUACAUAGCCGACCUGAGAGGGUGAUCGGCCAGCUUGGGACGGAGACACGGCCCAAACGCCUACGGGAGGCAGCAGUAGUGAUUCGUCGGCAAGGGACGAAAGUCUGACCGAGCAACGCCGCAUGAGUGAAGAGGGAUUUCGGAUCGUAAAACUCUGUUGGUAGAGAAGAACGUGGGUGAGAGUGGAAAGCUCAGCAAGUGACGGUAACUACCCAGAAAGGGACGGCUAACUACGUG
rnacentral:rRNA from 1 species